AACGAACGCUGGCGGCAUGCCUAACACAUGCAAGUCGAACGAGACCUUCGGGUCUAGUGGCGCACGGGUGCGUAACGCGUGGGAACCUGCCCUUAGGUUCGGAAUAACUCCCCGAAAGGGGUGCUAAUACCGGAUAAUGUCUUCGGACCAAUGAUUUAUCGCCUUUGGAUGGGCCCGCGUUGGAUUAGCUAGUUGGUAGGGUAAAAGCCUACCAAGGCGACGAUCCAUAGCUGGUCUGAGAGGAUGAUCAGCCACACUGGGACUGAGACACGGCCCAGACUCCUACGGGAGGCAGCAGUGGGGAAUAUUGGACAAUGGGCGAAAGCCUGAUCCAGCAAUGCCGCGUGAGUGAUGAAGGCCUUAGGGUUGUAAAGCUCUUUUACCCGGGAUGAUAAUGACAGUACCGGGAGAAUAAGCGCCGGCUAACUCCGUG
rnacentral:rRNA from 1 species